rnacentral:rRNA from 1 species
UAGGGAAUCUUCCACAAUGGACGCAAGUCUGAUGGAGCAACGCCGCGUGAGUGAAGAAGGUUUUCGGACCGUAAAGCUCUGUUGUUGGUGAAGAAGGAUAGAGGUAGUAACUGGCCUUUAUUUGACGGUAAUCAACCAGAAAGUCACGGCUAACUACGUGCCAGCAGCCGCGGUAAUACGUAGGUGGCAAGCGUUGUCCGGAUUUAUUGGGCGUAAAGCGAGCGCAGGCGGAAGAAUAAGUCUGAUGUGAAAGCCCUCGGCUUAACCGAGGAACUGCAUCGGAAACUGUUUUUCUUGAGUGCAGAAGAGGAGAGUGGAACUCCAUGUGUAGCGGUGGAAUGCGUAGAUAUAUGGAAGAACACCAGUGGCGAAGGCGACUCUCUGGUCUGCAACUGACGCUGAGGCUCGAAAGCAUGGGUAGCGAACAGGAUUAGAUACCCUGGUAGUCCAUGCCGUAAACGAUGAGUGCUAAGUGUUGGGAGGUUUCCGCCUCUCAGUGCUGCAGCUAACGCAUUAAGCACUCCGCCUGGGGGAGUACGACCGCAAGGUUGAAAC